UACGUAGGGUGCGAGCGUUGUCCGGAAUUAUUGGGCGUAAAGGGCGCGUAGGCGGCGUGUUAAGUCAGCUGUGAAAUCUCCGAGCUUAACUCGGAACGGUCAGCUGAUACUGAUGUGCUAGAGUGCAGAAGGGGCAAUCGGAAUUCUUGGUGUAGCGGUGAAAUGCGUAGAUAUCAAGAGGAACACCUGAGGUGAAGACGGGUUGCUGGGCUGACACUGACGCUGAGGCGCGAAAGCUAGGGUAGCAAACGGG
rnacentral:rRNA from 1 species